rnacentral:rRNA from 1 species
CUUAAAUUGAAGAGUUUGAUCAUGGCUCAGAUUGAACGCUGGCGGCAGGCCUAACACAUGCAAGUCGAGCGGUAGCACAGAGAGCUUGCUCUCGGGUGACGAGCGGCGGACGGGUGAGUAAUGUCUGGGAAACUGCCUGAUGGAGGGGGAUAACUACUGGAAACGGUAGCUAAUACCGCAUAACGUCGCAAGACCAAAGUGGGGGACCUUCGGGCCUCAUGCCAUCAGAUGUGCCCAGAUGGGAUUAGCUAGUAGGUGGGGUAACGGCUCACCUAGGCGACGAUCCCUAGCUGGUCUGAGAGGAUGACCAGCCACACUGGAACUGAGACACGGUCCAGACUCCUACGGGAGGCAGCAGUGGGGAAUAUUGCACAAUGGGCGCAAGCCUGAUGCAGCCAUGCCGCGUGUGUGAAGAAGGCCUUCGGGUUGUAAAGCACUUUCAGCGGGGAGGAAGGCGAUAAGGUUAAUAACCUCAUCGAUUGACGUUACCCGCAGAAGAAGCACCGGCUAACUCCGUGCCAGCAGCCGCGGUAAUACGGAGGGUGCAAGCGUUAAUCGGAAUUACUGGGCGUAAAGCGCACGCAGGCGGUCUGUCAAGUCGGAUGUGAAAUCCCCGGGCUCAACCUGGGAACUGCAUUCGAAACUGGCAGGCUAGAGUCUUGUAGAGGGGGGUAGAAUUCCAGGUGUAGCGGUGAAAUGCGUAGAGAUCUGGAGGAAUACCGGUGGCGAAGGCGGCCCCCUGGACAAAGACUGACGCUCAGGUGCGAAAGCGUGGGGAGCAAACAGGAUUAGAUACCCUGGUAGUCCACGCUGUAAACGAUGUCGAUUUGGAGGUUGUGCCCUUGAGGCGUGGCUUCCGGAGCUAACGCGUUAAAUCGACCGCCUGGGGAGUACGGCCGCAAGGUUAAAACUCAAAUGAAUUGACGGGGGCCCGCACAAGCGGUGGAGCAUGUGGUUUAAUUCGAUGCAACGCGAAGAACCUUACCUGGUCUUGACAUCCACAGAACUUAGCAGAGAUGCUUUGGUGCCUUCGGGAACUGUGAGACAGGUGCUGCAUGGCUGUCGUCAGCUCGUGUUGUGAAAUGUUGGGUUAAGUCCCGCAACGAGCGCAACCCUUAUCCUUUGUUGCCAGCGGUUAGGCCGGGAACUCAAAGGAGACUGCCAGUGAUAAACUGGAGGAAGGUGGGGAUGACGUCAAGUCAUCAUGGCCCUUACGACCAGGGCUACACACGUGCUACAAUGGCAUAUACAAAGAGAAGCGACCUCGCGAGAGCAAGCGGACCUCAUAAAGUAUGUCGUAGUCCGGAUUGGAGUCUGCAACUCGACUCCAUGAAGUCGGAAUCGCUAGUAAUCGUAGAUCAGAAUGCUACGGUGAAUACGUUCCCGGGCCUUGUACACACCGCCCGUCACACCAUGGGAGUGGGUUGCAAAAGAAGUAGGUAGCUUAACCUUCGGGAGGGCGCUUACCACUUUGUGAUUCAUGACUGGGGUGAAGUCGUAACAAGGUAACCGUAGGGGAACCUGCGGUUGGAUCACCUCCUUA